rnacentral:rRNA from 1 species
GAUGAACGCUGGCGGUAUGCUUAACACAUGCAAGUCGAACGGACUCUUCGGAGUUAGUGGCGGACGGGUGAGUAACGCGUGAGAAUCUGGCUUUGGGUUCGGGACAACCACUGGAAACGGUGGCUAAUACCGGAUGUGCCGAGAGGUAAAAGAGAAAUUGCCUGAAGAUGAGCUCGCGUCUGAUUAGCUAGUUGGUGAGGUAAAGGCUCACCAAGGCAGCGAUCAGUAGCUGGUCUGAGAGGAUGACCAGCCACACUGGGACUGAGACACGGCCCAGACUCCUACGGGAGGCAGCAGUGGGGAAUUUUCCGCAAUGGGCGAAAGCCUGACGGAGCAAUACCGCGUGAGGGAAGAAGGCUCUUGGGUUGUAAACCUCCUUUCUUAGGGAAGAACAAAAUGACGGUACCUAAGGAAUCAGCAUCGACUAACUCCGUG